rnacentral:rRNA from 1 species
GAUGAACGCUGGCGGCGUGCCUAAUACAUGCAAGUCGAGCGAACAGACGAGGAGCUUGCUCCUCUGACGUUAGCGGCGGACGGGUGAGUAACACGUGGAUAACCUACCUAUAAGACUGGGAUAACUUCGGGAAACCGGAGCUAAUACCGGAUAAUAUAUUGAACCGCAUGGUUCAAUAGUGAAAGACGGUUUUGCUGUCACUUAUAGAUGGAUCCGCGCCGCAUUAGCUAGUUGGUAAGGUAACGGCUUACCAAGGCGACGAUGCGUAGCCGACCUGAGAGGGUGAUCGGCCACACUGGAACGGAGCCACGGUCCAGACUCCUGCGGGAGGCAGCAGUAGGGAAUCUUCCGCAAUGGGCGAAAGCCUGGCGGAGCAACGCCGCGUGAGUGAUGAAGGUCUUCGGAUCGUAAAACUCUGUUAUUAGGGAAGAACAAAUGUGUAAGUAACUAUGCACGUCUUGACGGUACCUAAUCAGAAAGCCACGGCUAACUACGUG